UCCCGAGCGGGUUUGAAGCUUCGCUGAGCUGAGCGCUCUGCAGAGGAAAGAGCAUCCCAGGAUCACGGAGAUAAUAGCUGAAACAGGGAAAAGGUUAAAAGGACCAAAACCAUCUUGAAACUGGGAAGACUUGGUAUGUGCUGGUGAAAGGAUUCAAGGAUACUUUGAAGAACAUCUCCCUGCAACAGUGUUCUGCAAGAGGACAUGAUGUGUAAGUCAAGAAAUGGCCGCUGGGUUUCACGUCAUGGUCCAGAUGGACAAAGGAAUGAAGUUCAAGAGAAACAGAACGAGUGCAACUGCUCUUGGUCUCCUGGGGUUCACUCAAGGUGGAGAGGUGAUGUGGAGAAGGUGCUGAGCUGGGACUCAUGGUACCUGAUUUCCCUCCCUGACCUGCUGUGUGGCUGUAAGCACUGUGCCUCAGUUUCCCUUUCCUCCAUUUGGACUGUUUAGACUAACCUCUUGUAAGUAGUAAGCUUGAUCUGAUCUCCUGGGCUGGAAGAGCCGUGUGGUGCUGUGGACUUGGGAUGGUGCUUGGAGGUCUGUGCACCCCUUCGUGCAGAGACGAAAUGGCUGUGCCAGCCAAAUCCAACCCAGGGGCUUUGCCAUCAAUAUUCCCGGCCCAACCGAGGAGCUCUCAGGGGCAGGGUCUCUCUUACUCUGCCUUUGUACAGCAGCUGAGGGUAACUGGCCCCAGUGGUUUAGGACACUGUAUUACAGAUGAUACCACGAUCAUGACACGUGCAUAAGAGGAGCUGUAUCUCCAUGAGGGCUCUCUUUCCCUUUGUUCACUCUUUUAGCCUUUUAUUCUUGAU